rnacentral:rRNA from 1 species
UACGGAGGGUGCAAGCGUUGUUCGGAAUCAUUGGGCGUAAAGCGCGCGCAGGCGGUUUGCCAAGUCUGAUGUGAAAGCCCGGGGCUCAACCUCGGAACUGCAUUGGAAACUGGUAGACUUGAGUAUGUGAGGGGUCAGUGGAAUUCCUGGUGUAGGGGUGAAAUCCGUAGAGAUCAGGAGGAACACCGGUGGCGAAGGCGACUGACUGGAACAUAACUGACGCUGAGGCGCGAAAGCGUGGGUAGCAAACAGG